rnacentral:rRNA from 1 species
UACGUAGGGCGCAAGCGUUGUCCGGAAUUAUUGGGCGUAAAGAGCUCGUAGGCGGCUUGUCACGUCGAUUGUGAAAGCCCGAGGCUUAACCUCGGGUCUGCAGUCGAUACGGGCUAGCUAGAGUGUGGUAGGGGAGAUCGGAAUUCCUGGUGUAGCGGUGAAAUGCGCAGAUAUCAGGAGGAAUACCGGUGGUGUAGACGGCUCUCUGGACCGCCACUGACGCUGAGACACGAAAGCGUGGGGAGCGAACAGG